UACGGAGGGUGCAAGCGUUGUUCGGAAUUAUUGGGCGUAAAGCGCGUGCAGGCGGUUGGGUAAGUCAGAUGUGAAAGCCUUCCGCUUAACGGAAGAAGUGCAUUUGAAACUGCUCAGCUAGAGUACGGGAGAGGAGAGUGGAAUUCCCGGUGUAGAGGUGAAAUUCGUAGAUAUCGGGAGGAACACCAGUGGCGAAGGCGGCUCUCUGGUCCGAUACUGACGCUGAGACGCGAAAGCGUGGGGAGCAAACAGG
rnacentral:rRNA from 1 species